rnacentral:rRNA from 1 species
UACGUAGGGUGCGAGCGUUAAUCGGAAUUACUGGGCGUAAAGCGUGCGUAGGCGGUCCCGCAAGUCCGCUGUGAAAGCCCCGGGCUUAACCUGGGAAUGGCAGUGGAAACUAUGGGACUUGAAUCCGGCAGAGGGGGGUGGAAUGCCACGUGUAGCAGUGAAAUGCGUAGAGAUGUGGCGGAACACCGAUGGCGAAGGCAGCCCCCUGGGCCGAGAUUGACGCUCAGGCACGAAAGCGUGGGGAGCAAACAGG